rnacentral:lncRNA from 1 species
UGGGUGUAUCUUUACUUUACUAUUUAUAAUUUUGACAACUUUUACUUCACUACAUUUCUAAAGAAAAUAAUGUAUUUUUUACUCCAUACAUUUUCCCUGACACCUAAAAGUACUCGUUACAUUUUGAAUGCUGAGCAGGACAGGAAAAUGGUCCAAUUCACACACUUAUCAAGAGAACAUCCCUACUGCCUCUGAUCUGGCAGACUCACUAAACACACAUGCUUCAUUUGUAAAAUGAUGUCUGAGUGUUGGAAUGCACCUUGGCUAUUCGUACAUUUAAAAAAGUAACUUGAAAUAAUUACUUUUGAUAUUUAAAACCAACUACUUGUAUUUUACUGGGUGAAUUUCGCUUUUAAGUGAGUCAUUUUCUACUAAGGUAUCUUUACUCAAGUAUGCCAAUUCAGUACUUUUUCCACGUGGUGGCUUUGGGGUUAAAUCCCUGCUUUCCAAACUAGGUUCAAAUCGUAUCUUUUGUGUUCAACCGCUGAAACUUAAUGUCAAAUAUACAAAAAGUGGAAUAUUGAUGGAGUCUGGUUAUGGGGUUAAAUCUCAGUCUUCCAUUCUAGAGGGAGCAGGUUCAAAGCUCCAACUUCAGUGUGGAUUUCUGCAACUGUCAAUGUGAAAAUGACAAAGAAAACAGAGGUGUGAAGGAGUCUGUGGCUCUGGUGUAAAGAUCUCACCCUGUAUGUUCAGGGUUGUAGGUUCAAACCCCAGUCUGAGUGAGAAGGGGUCUGUGGCUCUGGUGUAAAGAUCUCACCCCAUACGUUCAGGGUUGCAGGUUCAAACCCCAGUCUGAGUGAGAAGGGGUCUGUAGCUCUGGUGUAAAGAUCUCACCCCAUACGUUCAGGGUUGCAGGUUCUGUCACAGCUCUGGAUCAGGAUGUGUUGGGACCAUGAACUCUGCUGCAGAAAGAGUCAAGGCCACUAGGAGUGCCACACCGACACGAUCAGAGAUAUGGUAAGCUGGGGGUUCAAUCCUGGAGCUCCAGAAGAGCAACCAGCAGAGGUUAUGGAGGAAAACCUCUGAAUAAAGUGGUCUUUAAGUGUCCAGGAGAUAAUCUCCAUAACCGUCUCAGACUGACCCAGAGAGGCUGCUACUCAGACACACAACCUGCCACACCCAGGGCUUCAACUCAGUACCCUGUGGGCAGGAAGCUUACCACCCAGGGCUUGAACUAAGUACCCUGCAGUCAGUCAUCCCAGAGAGCUCAGCUGGUUCCCUACGGAACCCUCCUAACCUUCUACUAGACUUGCAGUAACGUACAGGCUCUUCCUCAAUCUUACCUCAAAAUCUGUUGGAAAAUGGGAUGGAGCGUUGGCCUUUUCCAGUACUGUUGAGGCGGCUGCCAGGAGAUCGAGAGGUAUUGUGGAAAGACGAACAGUAUUUGAAAUAGAUGAAUGAAAAAUCAUGCAGGACCACAAACUGGGCAGGAAAAAAUUAAAUAAAAUCCAUGCCACUACAGAAAACUGAGCACGAUAAAAAGAGGAAUGUCUGAUAAUAAAAUCCCACAAAUGACAUUUUGAAAUGCACCUCAAGUCAUCAACAUAAAGUAUUAGAUAUCACAAAGCCAAUAAACACAAACUUUCCCACAAUCCAAACCCUUUUUAUUAGAACAAUACAGCAGAUAUAAAGACCUAUUGCAAAUCACACGGUCAACACUGGACGUGUGCUUCAACAAACAAAAUGCACUUCCCCAAAAAACAACAAAAAUGAAAUAAAUUAAUUAAAAAAACUAAUAAAACUAAAACAUCCAUUUCCUUUGAUGUUUUUUUUUCUGUUGAAAUGUCAGAAUGAAACAAAGGCCUUGUAACUCUGGGCUGAAGACUGAGAAGUUAAGACAUCUAUAUAGUCUCAACACAGAGCAUUAAGGACCUAGCCUGGACCAAAACCCAAGAGAAGGACAGAAGAGGGAAAAACUCCUUCCUCCUAAGAGUCAAGAGUGGAAACUGCCUCCCUGAUUAUGUUUAUAAGCAUUUUAACUGCGAUGAGCAAAUACACUCCUCUACAACAGAGUUAUAUGGAGGGUUUAAGGUCCGACUCCACUGUCUGGUCUAGCCUAGUUGCCAGAUCUGUACAGGCUUAAGCAAAACGUCAGACUUUCAAUGUCAUGGCAUUAUUUGGCUAAAGCACAUACUGACCUGGCAACCAAGCUAGGUGGGACCACUGUUCUCUAGUGGAACUGAGAUCAAGGUCUCAGAUGCACCGCCAGUAUAUCGUCACAAUGAAUACAUGUCUGUUAGUGUUUGAACUGGAGCGACAGGUACAGAAGCAGUAAGACUGAGCAGGUGUGUGGUGGAUAAAUCUGAAGUGGAGAGAGAAGGCUCUCAGCCUCAGCACAGCUAUGCACCGUGGCGUAGCUACACGUCUAGAAAGUAGAUCUGAUACACAUGAAUAACUAAAGGACUCAAUUCAAUCCGUAUCGCGAAGCUCACCUCCCAUUGAGCCGACUUACGCAGCGUUUACCACGGCAGCAUUCUCCGCGAAACGCGGGACGAUUGCUUUUAAAUGUCAGAUGGUGCAUUAAUGCUGAACUUCAGCAGUGGACUGAAUCAAGCCCUAAUACACAAAGGUCCAAACAGAACCCCAGAGUGAUUGACACCCCUCUGAGUGAAUCUGGUAUUACAUGUUUCAAUCUUUUCAAAUCACAUACACACCCUUUAAAAGAGAAUAGAAAACCUCCCAAAAAAACAGACACAAUCGCAACAGUAUUGGAGCAAGAAAAACCCCAACUUAAAGCCUGUGAUGAUAAUGAAUAAGACAAUAAUAGCAUUCUAAAUAAAAAUAAAACACAUUUAGAGAUGCAUAUUUUGUUCUGAAAUAUUGAUCUUCUGUCCCAAAUGGCACACUAUUCCCUAUAUAGGUCACUACCUGGUCAAAAGUAGUGCACUAAAUAGGGAAUAGGGUGCCCUUUGGGCCGUAAUCUUAAAGUCAAUGAAUCACACACUUCACACAAAACGUAGUACAAGUGACUUUAUGCCAGAGCAGAAGGAAAAGAGUCUAGGCUCACUUGGUAAGGAGAUAGAAACGUCAACUUUUCACUGAUGACGGUUUCACUUGGGGUUGGAGAAACUAACGCAUCAGGAAUGGCACCAUGUUCCCUAAAAUAUCCUUGUACUACUUUUGACUUACACUGGGC